GAUGAACGCUGGCGGCGUGCCUAAUACAUGCAAGUCGAGCGAACGGACGAGAAGCUUGCUUUUCUGAUGUUAGCGGCGGACGGGUGAGUAACACGUGGAUAACCUACCUAUAAGACUGGGAUAACUUCGGGAAACCGGAGCUAAUACCGGAUAAUAUUUUGAACCGCAUGGUUCAAAAGUGAAAGACGGUCUUGCUGUCACUUAUAGAUGGAUCCGCGCUGCAUUAGCUAGUUGGUAAGGUAACGGCUUACCAAGGCAACGAUGCAUAGCCGACCUGAGAGGGGGAUCGGCCACACUGGAACUGAGACGCGGUCCAGACUCCUACGGGAGGCAGCAGUAGGGAAUCUUCCGCAAUGGGCGAAAGCCUGACGGAGCAACGCCGCGUGAGUGAUGAAGGUCUUCGGAUCGUAAAACUCUGUUAUUAGGGAAGAACAUAUGUGUAAGUAACUGUGCACAUCUUGACGGUACCUAAUCAGAAAGCCACGGCUAACUACGUG
rnacentral:rRNA from 1 species